rnacentral:rRNA from 1 species
UACGUAGGGUCCGAGCGUUGUCCGGAUUUAUUGGGCGUAAAGAGCUCGUAGGCGGCUUGCUAAGUCAGGUGUGAAACCUCCAGGCUCAACCUGGAGCCGCCACCUGAUACUGGUAUGGCUAGAGUCCGGUAGGGGACCACGGAAUUCCUGGUGUAGCGGUGAAAUGCGCAGAUAUCAGGAAAAACACCAAUGGCGAAAGCAGCUCUCUGGGACGGUACUGACGCUGAGACGCGAAAGCGUGGGGAGCGAACAGG